UUGAAUGACAAUAACAGCUGUUUUUUGAUCUUUCUAACGGCAGUGAGAACACUGUUGGGUUAUGAAAUGCUUAAAUGUAAUCUAAUCUUUUAAAUUUUCGGUCUGAACAUGGUAUAAAGUUCAUGACAGCAAUAUCCCCAAGAUCUCUUGGAUUGAUUGUAAUAGAAACUUGUGAAGCUCUUAUUUCAAGGCUUUCCAGUUUUAUAAAGGUGCCGCAAUCAGAAUCAAAUUGGAAAAAAAAUUGCAGAUGAUUUCAAUGAAGCAUAGAAUUUCCCCAAUUGCAUAGGAGCUGUUGACGGCAAACACAUCGCAAUUAUAAAACCGGCUAAAUCGGCAACGGUUAAUGCAAACUAUGAACUCAUAGUAGCUGAUGUUGGCACGAAUGGUUGUAUUUCGGACGGUAAAGUAAUAAAAAAUACCGAUUUUGGGAGAGCACUCUACAGCAAAUCUUUGCCAAUACCUCCACCAUCGCAACUACCAAGCAGCGACAAGGUGCUGCCGUAAGUUUUUCCAAAUGCAGGAACACCUUUAAAACCGUUUUCCGGUUCCAACUUCACAACCAAAGAACGCAUUUUUAAUUAUAGAUUGAGCAGAGCACGCAGAAUUGUAGAAAAUGUAUUUGGAAUAUUGGCAUCAAGGUUUAACGUUCUGCGAACCACUAUUUCACUCACACCAGAAAAAGCACAAACUAUUGUUUUAGCUUGUUGCUAUCUGCACAAUUUUUUGCCAAAAAAAAAACCUACAUAUGCAUUUACAAACUUAAUUGACCAAGAAAUUACCAACACAGGAAAUUUAAUGGAAGGAAGCUGGCGCAAUGAGAUAGAUCUAAAUGCUCUGGAAUGUACGCAAAUACGUAAUUCCUCAAAUAAAGCGAAACAAAUUCGCGAUACUUUCGCUGUAUAAUUCAGCAACGAAGGUGCAGUAUCUUGGUAAACAAAAUUCACAUAUUAACAAACAUGAAUCACUAUAUUAUUUUAAUAUACAAUUGCAAUGAAAUAAAAUAUUUUUUUUUUUUCGAUUUUA